GCAGGGAGCCUGCCUUUGCCCCGCUGUGCCACUGACUGGGAGCCGGCUGAGAGGUGCCAGGUUACUGCUGCUGUGAUUGGGAUGUGAAUCUUUCCAAUUUCUGUUUAGGGAACAGCCUUCGAUCUAUGGGCAAGACUUGGGUAACCAGAUGCAGCUAUCUAAGGGGACAGUGAUGAUGAUAAUGAUGACUCAAUAGUGCUAAUCCAAACUCCAUUAGAGAUCGUUCUCUGUUGUCAUCUUGUACUCUUGACACCUCACAGCACAUGAGGUAAUAAAAUAUAUCAGGCAGCCAGAACACCAGGACUUGAGACUACUGAAAUGUUUGCACAAUCUUGAAGCAUUUAUUUAAAAGUUGCUUUUCCCUGAAGGGUAGCGCUACAGCCAGAUUCAAAGUCAGAUCAAAAAAACAAAC